AGAGUUUGAUCAUGGCUCAGAUUGAACGCUGGCGGCAGGCCUAACACAUGCAAGUCGAACGGUAACAGGAAGCAGCUUGCUGCUUUGCUGACGAGUGGCGGACGGGUGAGUAAUGUCUGGGAAACUGCCUGAUGGAGGGGGAUAACUACUGGAAACGGUGGCUAAUACCGCAUAACGUCGCAAGACCAAAGAGGGGGACCUUCGGGCCUCUUGCCAUCAGAUGUGCCCAGAUGGGAUUAGCUAGUUGGUGAGGUAACGGCUCACCAAGGCGACGAUCCCUAGCUGGUCUGAGAGGAUGACCAGCCACACUGGAACUGAGACACGGUCCAGACUCCUACGGGAGGCAGCAGUGGGGAAUAUUGCACAAUGGGCGCAAGCCUGAUGCAGCCAUGCCGCGUGUAUGAAGAAGGCCUUAGGGUUGUAAAGUACUUUCAGCGGGGAGGAAGGUGUUGCGGUUAAUAACCGCAGCAAUUGACGUUACCCGCAGAAGAAGCACCGGCUAACUCCGUGCCAGCAGCCGCGGUAAUACGGAGGGUGCAAGCGUUAAUCGGAAUUACUGGGCGUAAAGCGCACGCAGGCGGUCUGUCAAGUCGGAUGUGAAAUCCCCGGGCUCAACCUGGGAACUGCAUUCGAAACUGGCAGGCUUGAGUCUUGUAGAGGGGGGUAGAAUUCCAGGUGUAGCGGUGAAAUGCGUAGAGAUCUGGAGGAAUACCGGUGGCGAAGGCGGCCCCCUGGACAAAGACUGACGCUCAGGUGCGAAAGCGUGGGGAGCAAACAGGAUUAGAUACCCUGGUAGUCCACGCCGUAAACGAUGUCUACUUGGAGGUUGUGCCCUUGAGGCGUGGCUUCCGGAGCUAACGCGUUAAGUAGACCGCCUGGGGAGUACGGCCGCAAGGUUAAAACUCAAAUGAAUUGACGGGGGCCCGCACAAGCGGUGGAGCAUGUGGUUUAAUUCGAUGCAACGCGAAGAACCUUACCUGGUCUUGACAUCCACAGAACUUUCCAGAGAUGGAUUGGUGCCUUCGGGAACUGUGAGACAGGUGCUGCAUGGCUGUCGUCAGCUCGUGUUGUGAAAUGUUGGGUUAAGUCCCGCAACGAGCGCAACCCUUAUCCUUUGUUGCCAGCGAUUAGGUCGGGAACUCAAAGGAGACUGCCAGUGAUAAACUGGAGGAAGGUGGGGAUGACGUCAAGUCAUCAUGGCCCUUACGACCAGGGCUACACACGUGCUACAAUGGCGCAUACAAAGAGAAGCGACCUCGCGAGAGCAAGCGGACCUCAUAAAGUGCGUCGUAGUCCGGAUUGGAGUCUGCAACUCGACUCCAUGAAGUCGGAAUCGCUAGUAAUCGUGGAUCAGAAUGCCACGGUGAAUACGUUCCCGGGCCUUGUACACACCGCCCGUCACACCAUGGGAGUGGGUUGCAAAAGAAGUAGGUAGCUUAACCUUCGGGAGGGCGCUUACCACUUUGUGAUUCAUGACUGGGGUGAAGUCGUAACAAGGUAACCGUAGGGGAACCUGCGGUUGGAUCACCU
rnacentral:rRNA from 2 species